GACUUCGUGGUGUAGCGGUUAGCACUCUGGACUCUGAAUCCAGCAAGCCGAGUUUGAGUCUCGGAGAGCCA
rnacentral:tRNA from 1 species